rnacentral:rRNA from 9 species
AUCUAUACUGUGAAACUGCGAAUGGCUCAUUAAAUCAGUUAUCGUUUAUUUGAUAGUACCUUACUACUUGGAUAACCGUGGUAAUUCUAGAGCUAAUACAUGCUAAAAACCCCGACUUCGGAAGGGGUGUAUUUAUUAGAUAAAAAACCAAUGCCCUUCGGGGCUCCUUGGUGAAUCAUGAUAACUUAACGAAUCGCAUGGCCUUGCGCCGGCGAUGGUUCAUUCAAAUUUCUGCCCUAUCAACUUUCGAUGGUAGGAUAGUGGCCUACCAUGGUAUCAACGGGUAACGGGGAAUUAGGGUUCUAUUCCGGAGAGGGAGCCUGAGAAACGGCUACCACAUCCAAGGAAGGCAGCAGGCGCGCAAAUUACCCAAUCCCGACACGGGGAGGUAGUGACAAUAAAUACUGAUACAGGGCUCUUUUGGGUCUUGUAAUUGGAAUGAGUACAAUUUAAAUACCUUAACGAGGAACAAUUGGAGGGCAAGUCUGGUGCCAGCAGCCGCGGUAAUUCCAGCUCCAAUAGCGUAUAUUAAAGUUGUUGCAGUUAAAAAGCUCGUAGUUGAACCUUGGGCCUGGCUGGCCGGUCUGCCUCACCGCAUGUACUGGUUCGGCCGGGCCUUUCCUCCUGGGGAUCCGCAUGCCCUUCACUGGGUGUGUUGGGGAACCAGGACUUUUACUUUGAAAAAAUUAGAGUGUUCAAAGCAGGCCUUUGCUCGAAUACAUUAGCAUGGAAUAAUAGAAUAGGACGUGCGGUCCUAUUUUGUUGGUUUCUAGGACCGCCGUAAUGAUUAAUAGGGAUAGUCGGGGGCAUCAGUAUUCAGUUGUCAGAGGUGAAAUUCUUGGAUUUACUGAAGACUAACUACUGCGAAAGCAUUUGCCAAGGAUGUUUUCAUUAAUCAGUGAACGAAAGUUAGGGGAUCGAAGACGAUCAGAUACCGUCGUAGUCUUAACCGUAAACUAUGCCGACUAGGGAUCGGGCGAUGUUAUUCUUUUGACUCGCUCGGCACCUUACGAGAAAUCAAAGUCU